rnacentral:rRNA from 1 species
CCUACGGGAGGCUGCAGUGGGGGAUAUUGCACAAUGGGGGGAACCCUGAUGCAGCGACGCCGCGUGGGUGAAGAAGCGCCUCGGCGCGUAAAGCCCUGUCAGCAGGGAAGAAAAUGACGGUACCUGAAGAAGAAGCCCCGGCUAACUACGCGCCAGCAGCCGCGGUAAUACGUAGGGGGCAAGCGUUAUCCGGAUUUACUGGGUGGAAAGGGGGCGCAGACGGCGAUGCAAGCCAGGAGUGAAAGCCCGGGGCCCAACCCCGGGACUGCUCUUGGAACUGCGUGGCUGGAGUGCAGGAGGGGCAGGCGGAAUUCCUGGUGUAGCGGUGAAAUGCGUAGAUAUCAGGAGGAACACCGGUGGCGAAGGCGGCCUGCUGGACUGCAACUGACGUUGAGGCCCGAAAGCGUGGGGAGCAAACAGGAUUAGAUACCCCUGUAGUC